rnacentral:rRNA from 1 species
GACGAACCGUGCAAACGUUGUUCGGAAUCACUGGGCUUAAAGGGCGCGUAGGCGGGUAGUCAAGUCAGGGGUGAAAUCCGGCAAGCCUAACUGUCGUAAUAGCUUUGAUACUGACUUGUCGUUGAGGGGGUAGGGCAUGUGGAACUUCCGGUGGAGCGGUGAAAUGCGUAGAUAUCGGAAGGACGCCGGUGGCGAAAGCGGGUCUCUGGGCCGAUACUGACGCUGAGGAGACGAAAGCGUGGGGAGCGAACAGG